rnacentral:rRNA from 1 species
UACGAGUGCCUCAAGCGUUAUCCGGAAUCAUUGGGCGUAAAGGAUGUGUAGGUGGUCAUGUUAGUCUUCUGUUAAAUCUCUCGGCUCAACCGAGAAUCUGCAGGGGAAACGGCACGACUAGAGGAUGCAAGGGGUCUGCGGAACUCAUAGUGUAGCGGUGAAAUGCGUUGAUAUUAUGGGGAACACCAAAAGCGAAGGCAGCAGACUGGGGCACUCCUGACACUGAAACAUGAAAGCGUGGGUAGCGAAUGGG